rnacentral:rRNA from 1 species
UACGUAGGGGGCAAGCGUUGUCCGGAAUCAUUGGGCGUAAAGAGCUCGUAGGCGGCUUGUCGCGUCGGCUGUGAAAACCUGGGGCUCAACCCCGGGCCUGCAGCCGAUACGGGCAAGCUAGAAUUCGGUAGGGGAGACUGGAAUUCCUGGUGUAGCGGUGAAAUGCGCAGAUAUCAGGAGGAACACCGGUGGCGAAGGCGACAUCCUGGACCGGUAUUGACGCUGAGGCGCGAAAGCCAGGGGAGCAAACGGG